rnacentral:rRNA from 1 species
UACGUACUGUGCGAACGUUAUUCGGAAUCACUGGGCUUAAAGGGUGCGUAGGCGGCCAAUUAAGUAGGGUGUGAAAUGCCAGAGCUCAACUUUGGCAUUGCGCUCUAGACUGGUUGGCUUGAGUGAGAUAGGGGUGUGCGGAACUUCCAGUGGAGCGGUGAAAUGUGUUGAUAUCAGAAGGAACGCCGGUGGCGAAAGCGACUCUCUGGCUCGUAUUUGACGCUGAGGCGCGAAAGCUUGGGUAGCAAACGGG